UUGAAUCCCCUCGAUCUGUUUCCUCAUUCCAUCAUCAAGGACGCUCUAGCUGCGGAGCCCUUCGCCACCUCCGAGAUCCGCCGCCGCCACCCUCUCUGAUUCUUGUCGACGCUGCCGGCGACGCCAUCCGGCUCUCGCGUCAGCUGCCACCAACGUGGCUCCACCCCUGUCUCCCCCAUCGAUCCCCAGCACCUCCUCGCUGUUCCCCCCUGCGCGCGCCCCUGUGGGCUGCGGCUAACCCUAGACGCCAACUCGUGUUGCGGGCACUGAGGAUGGGAGCGGGCGGCCGCAUCGCUAAGGGGUUGGAGCGGCUGGGGCGUCACCGCCGCCGAACUCCGGGAAUCGCCGCCGCCAAGUCUCCAGGGCAGGGCGGUUUCAAACCCUGCCGACGAACUCCAGGAUACGCAUAAUCAUUGCCGCCGCCCCCCUCCCCCGGCUGCCCCGCGGUCUUCUAUCUCUCCCAACUCCGCUGUCGCGCCACGUCUUCCGUCUCUGCAUGAAUCGCGGCUGUGGCAGCCACUCCCCAUGGCGGCCAUCCUGGCACACCGUGUCCGGGAUGAUGGAGGUGAUGUCGGCCAGGUCCCUGUUUCCGUCGGCAUCUUCUGCGAUGAGACCCGUGGGGGCAGGUUGCACGCUGCUCAUCUGCGUCGAUGGCGUCGGCGUGGUCCUUCCCCUGCCAAGCGUGGCUGCUCCUUGGCUGGAUCAUAGUGAUGAUACAGUCGGCUCGGCGGGGGCUAGGGAUCUCGCUGGCUAGCGUUUAUUUGAUGUCCGGAUGUUCCAAUUGUGAUGGAACAGACGUAUAAUGUACUGUACAAGAAUUUGGACGAGGCUCAUCGGCGUGGAUGGUUGUGGCUUGGCUGCCGGGCACACAAUCCAUUGAUUCACACAUAAGGUCAAAACCGAGUCGCGGUGUUCACAAUGCUGGGCAUUAUUUAUAUCAAAGGACGAGGAGGAAGAUUUGGAUGACCGUAACCAAAAUGGCAAGGGCAGCAACAUGGUCGUCACCUGCAAUGCCGAUGGGUGCUGAGAUUAAGAUGUUUGGUUUAUUUGUUGAAAGUUACAUCCCAUGUUUCAUGAUUUAUUUGCCGCUGGUUAAUCAUGAUAUUUUGAACUGCUCUGACAAUUGCUUGCUGUCUGCGUCUCUUACUUUCCAACUUGCUGCACAUACAGAUAUACAUCAUUAGAAUCUCUUUGUACUUAUUCAACAUGCUUCAGUUAUGCUUCUUUGAAAAUCCAGUUGUAGAUGCAGUGAAGCCCCAUUUAGAUCUUGGCUAUAGUAUUAUUCUUGUCUUAUGACUUAUGACGGAUUGAUAUGUGAUACCAUGACAUAGCAUUGUGGUACCGUGGUAGUCACAUUUGGUGGUAGUUCUGAUUAUUUGCUAGAUUACGAGAUAAGACCAAGUGCUUCUGCAACUCGGUUGCGGUUUUGAUAGGAACAUGAAGACUUGUGCCAUGCCAUGGAGCAUGUUUGAUUUAAAGGACAUAGUUGCUCCAAUAUAUUGAGCAGGGAAGAAGUUUGUUACAAGUGUUUUAUAGAGUUGACGCAAGAGACAUCCGACGGGAUACAUUGGUGCAGGAAUCGACGAAGAAGCUUCCGUUCAGCAUGGUAUCUCAAUGGAAGAAUAUCCGAAGCAAACCUCCGCUACUUGUCUGUUCCCUUUCAUUUGUCGUGGGAAGACCUUAGGAAGGUAGGAAGACCUUAGGAAGAGUGGGUGGGAGGAAGGGAGGCAUGUGCUAUAGAUGUAGGCGAACAAUGGUCCUUGGAAAUUAUUAGUACUUUACAAAAUGUCUGUCCCCUGUGACGCCUACAAUGAGCGAGAGAGGGUGGAAGGAAGGGAGACCGGAGGAAGGAAGAUGGGGAUAUAUGUAGAGAGAGGGAGAUAGGAGGAAGGGAGAUGGGCAUAUAUGUAGAGAGAGGAAGAUCAGAGAGGGAGGGAAGAUUUACAGGACGAUUGUCAUUGAGCCACUCAAAUAUGUAUGUCUCUGUUGCAUCACACGGGCAAUUAACUAUAGAAAAAUUCAAGGCUAUUUUUUAAAGUGACAUUUAUUCACGCCGAUAA